AACGAACGCUGGCGGCAGGCUUAACACAUGCAAGUCGAACGGACCCUUCGGGGUUAGUGGCGGACGGGUGAGUAACACGUGGGAACGUGCCUUUAGGUUCGGAAUAGCUCCUGGAAACGGGUGGUAAUGCCGAAUGUGCCCUUCGGGGGAAAGAUUUAUCGCCUUUAGAGCGGCCCGCGUCUGAUUAGCUAGUUGGUGAGGUAAUGGCUCACCAAGGCGACGAUCAGUAGCUGGUCUGAGAGGAUGACCAGCCACACUGGGACUGCGACACGGCCCAGACUCCUACGGGAGGCAGCAGUGGGGAAUCUUGCGCAAUGGGCGAAAGCCUGACGCAGCCAUGCCGCGUGAAUGAUGAAGGUCUUAGGAUUGUAAAAUUCUUUCACCGGGGACGAUAAUGACGGUACCCGGAGAAGAAGCCCCGGCUAACUUCGUGCCAGCAGCCGCCGUAACAC
rnacentral:rRNA from 1 species